ACCCUGAACAGAGGAACACUCAGUUUGUCAGUCGAUGAAGAGAACGGCCAUCCGCGAGAACUGAUGCGAAUUGCAGCAUUCAAUGAACACCCGACACCUGGAACGCACAUUGUGGCCUCGAGAUCCCUUGUCUCGGGUCUCCUCCG